CUAUCGCGGCCGGCCGGCUACGUCUCGUGUGCCGUUCUGUUUUCGCUCUGCUUAACUUUUGGGACCCCGUUCUCUCAGUCUACGCCUGACGCCCCUCGGUGAGGGUUCUCCGGCUCCGAAUCCAGCUCUAAAAAGAAGGAAAAAAGAAGAUCCGCGAGGCCUGCCUUGGGCCGGCCCGCCAAUCAGGACGCGCGCGGGCGUUUUGAACGCUAGCGGUUCGCUGCGCUCCUCCGGUGGGAACAGCGCGCAGAGGAGAGCGGCUGAGUGUACAGGGGGCCAGGGCCUGCGCGUCGCUGCGGACCGGGGACAAGACUGAGGUCGAGAGGCUCAAGUCUUGAACACUACUUGGCUUCACACGUACAGGCUAGACUACAGGAUGAUCACUGGAUUACCGGGUGGUGAUCUCUCUCUCUCUGUUGUCAAAGGAUCAGCUACAACUGAAAGUCAGUUAUCUGUGAGUCACUCUGCAAACAGAAUCCAUGAAAGCUGGAACUUUGCUUUGCUCUCAGUGGUCUAGAAACCUGACAGUUUUGUGUCUUUUAUAAAAGAAAACACUAUUCUGUUUUGGAUUAGCAAACUCAUUCUGUAGUGAGAAUAGGAAGGAUUCCUCUCCUCCCCACACAAUGUGGGGGAAGAUGUUCAUCUCUCAGGGCCUUUUCUUUUUUUGAGGGGUUAGGGUUAUGGAAAUAGAAAUGAAAAUUGCCAUCACUGAGCUCUAUAAUUGCAUCUUGGCUCUAUAAUUGACUGACUUCCAUUACUGAUUUUAUCCUCAUUGCAGGGACUCAGACACAAAUCACCCUACAACACAGACCACAGGGCAGGGGAGAUGACUCAGUGGGUCAAGCACUUGCCAUACAAAAGCAUUGGGGACUGAAUUCAGAUCCUCAUGACCCCACUACUAUAGAGGUGGAGAAAGGAGGUUCUCUGAACAAGGACUAACUGGAUUGGCCAAAUCAGUGAGUUGGGCUCUAGUGAGAAAUUCUGCCUCAGUAUAUAAAGAUUGACAUUUGACUUUACCUUUAACCCCCACACUGGCAUGUGAACCCUCUCACAUCCAUCUAUACGCAGGAGCAUGGUUACACAUGUGCUCCUUGAACUUACUCAGUUAAAAAAAAAAAAAACAGGCCAGCGAGUAACGGGGCAUGGCGGCAAAUAGUUAUAAUAUAUGUACUGUAGAGGCCAAGGCAGGAAGCAUAUGAAUAUGAAGCCAGCAUGGGAGACCUUUUUUCAAAACAUCCAAAAAUGAGGGCUAGGGGAGAUGGUUUGGUAGAAAAGUGCUUCCUUUACAAAUGUGAGUGUCCAAGUUUGAAUACCCAGAGCUCAAACUGGGCCUAGUAGCCUGCCUGUGUAAGCCCAGUUUCAACAGCUGGGUGGUAGGUAGGUGGAGACAGGACAAUCUCCUGCGGGUCUGUCAGCUUGACAUACAAAGCAGCAAAUAAGGCAGAAAACAACUAACCUUAGAGUCUGUUCACUGAUCUCCACACAUGUGCCCUUACACACGAACUUGCAUACACAGAUACCUCACACCAAAGGUUAAAAACAAAACCACCCCAAAGAUGGAGAUUUGAGACGCAAAAAGAACUGCAAAGAAUGUAAACUAUGUUAUAUACAAAUGGCCAAAGAAUAAUAAAAAAGACAAUAUCAGGGCUGGAGAGAUGGCUCAGCGGUUAAGAGCACUGACUGCUCUUCCAGAGGUCCUGAGUUCAAUUCCCAGCAACCACAUGGUGGCUCACAACCAUCUGUAAUGGGAUCCGAUGCCUUUUUCUGGAGUGUCUGAAAACAGCUACAGUGUACUCAUAUAAAUUAAAUAAAAUAAAUCUUUAAAAAAAGACAAUAUCAGCAAGUAAAAGAAUGAAAGCAGAAAUGAUAGCAUGGAGCUGUAAGUGGCAGAGAGAAAGGGAGUGAGUGCUGUCAGGAUGCACUCUUCCUUGAUUCUGUUAGAACUUGCUGUAGUUUUAUUUUGGAAACACUUUACAAUGUAUCAAAGUUGUUGGCAUACCUGUACCCUUCGACCCAGGUGUUUCAUUCUUAUAAUUUAAAUAAGUAUCCAGAAAUACACAAAUAUGUGAAAAUAUAUACCCAUGUAUAUACUUACAGACAGCAUAUGGAAUUAUAGGAAACUGCAUGUUAGAUGGUCAUUUUACAUAAGUUUUGAACCAACAAGUCUAGUCAUAAAGCUCGUGUAUGAAAAAUAUGUUAUGUAUGUGUAUACAUACGUAUCUGUAAGCAUGGGGAAGUGUGUGCGUAUGUGUAUAAAGAAAAAUUGUGAACAUACACACAUGUAUAGAUAUAGCUGUUCCUUUUGCUGCAGACAUUUCACUUCAAAUUAUUUCACUCUGGAUCUUGGCAAUGUGGAGGCCGGGUUCUUUAUAAUAGUAUACAGUAACAAAGAAAAAGGAAUAAACAUGAACAUGCAUUGGUGAUACUUUGUUUUCUAAAAGCCAUGACUCAUCAACCAAAUCAAGACUCACCCACAAAUACAAAAUUGCGGAGCUGUGAAAAUGGAGGUGCUUCUGUAUCUGUGGGCAGCAGGGACUGUCAGAAAGCUCAUAGUAGCAGGAGAAAGUAAGUACUAGAGUAGUGGUGGUCUGAUUUGUAUUUUUAAUGUGUUGAGGUAGGCAUGUUUAUAACUACACAAUUCACACAUUCACUCUUUGUGUCUCUGUCUCUGCCUCUCUCUCUCUCUCUACACACACACACACACACACACACACACACACACACACACACACACAGUUACCUUUUGCUAUUAAGAAUAGUUUAAAAAGUCUCAGUUUUUAUUUAAUACUUGCUGCUUUUCUGAACUGUUUGAAAGUUUGCUGUUGACAAGAAGUAGAGAUCAAUUAUCAUUUAGUAAAUGUGGAGCUGGUUAGUAAAUAUGAAUUAUUUAUUAGUGUUUUGAAGUUGCUUUCCAGAAGUAUAGGAAGCUGCAUGUUAGAUGGUUGUGCAUAUUUAUAUAUUUUACAUAAGUUCGAACCAACAAGUCUAGUCUCAUGUAUAAAAAAUGUUAUAUAUGUACAUUCAUACAUAUCUGUUGCUUUCAAGUAACUAAUAGGGCCAACACCAUCAUGGUCUAAAUCUACUAAAUAUGGUAUACAUAUACUAGUUACUUGGAGGUGGAAUGGAAUGUCAUUUAAUUUUUUCCCAGAAGGAAGAUAACAUUCAUUUUUAUGUUUACUUUAAAAAUUAAACAGACCAAAAGUGAAUCCUGGAAUAGGUUUGUUGUGGUAACUUGGUGGCUGUCCAGAGACUAGGAGGCAAUAGGGAAUGAUCAGAUAGUUUUUAGGCAUGGGGUAUAGCUUCUAACCCCAGGUGGUGUGUGAGCAGGGGAAACCAUGAGAAGUUCCUCUGUGUAGGAGGGAAAGGGAAAGAGCAUCUUAACCCUUAGAAGAAGCAGGGAGCCACUGACUGCACAUCUUCCCAGUCUUGGAAGAAAAGCCCAUUCCCAGUAACAUGCUGACCUGUCCUUGUAUUUGAGAGUAUACUACAUUGUUAGUGCUUAAUGUUUUUGUAUGUCUCUUCUAAACAUAUUAAAAAUAUGUAACAG
rnacentral:lncRNA from 1 species